CAGUAGCCGCGGGAAUACGAAGGGGGCUAGCGUUGCUCGGAAUCACUGGGCGUAAAGGGUGCGUAGGCGGGUCUUUAAGUCAGGGGUGAAAUCCUGGAGCUCAACUCCAGAACUGCCUUUGAUACUGAAGAUCUUGAGUUCGGGAGAGGUGAGUGGAACUGCGAGUGUAGAGGUGAAAUUCGUAGAUAUUCGCAAGAACACCAGUGGCGAAGGCGGCUCACUGGCCCGAUACUGACGCUGAGGCACGAAAGCGUGGGGAGCAAACAGGAUUAGAUACCCGAGUAGUCCCUGUCUCUUAUAC
rnacentral:rRNA from 1 species